GCCGCUUCGGCCCCCGAGCCUCCCUGAGCUCGCUGCCUGGGCGGUCUAGUUCCCCACCAAGAAGGCGCUUUGUGCAGGAGCCACUAGGCUCCCACCGGCGUCCUCCCCUUCCUAGAGACAGAGGACAUCUUGCCUCGCUAAGUCCCCCGGGUCCUUGGUGAGGAAGGCUGGGCCACAUGUGCCCGGGUACAGACACAUGGUGAGGGUGUACUGGGGGAUGUAGGGGUGCGGUACCGCGCCUUCAGAGUAUGUGCGUGGGUUGGAGAACAAAGCGUGCGUAAGUUGGGUCCCUGCCUGGGUCUAGAGGAAACUUCCUGCCCAGUGCAAGACGGACGCAGAGCUGGAGGAGUGGUGAGUCCGCCUGGCACGAAUUCACUGGGAUCAGGGAUUCCUCAUUCGAAGCUGGGACCUGUCCCGGGCCUGCUGCUCUCCUCUUCACCUUCAGUCUCCACCUGCGGCCUCACUGUGAUCUCAACCCGCCAAUACCCCAGGAGCCCAGAUAAUUUCUUUCGACUCUUUACUUCCUCUCUUUUUUGAUAUGUGCAACCAUCACUACUGUCAAUUUUAGAACAUUUUCAUCACCUCAAAAAGAAAUCUCGAUCCCCCAGCCUUCUAUCUCCUCAAACCCCCAGCCCUAAGCAACCACUAAUCUACUCUCUGUCUCUAUGGAUUUCCCUAUCCUGGAUACUUCAUAUAAAUGGAAUCAUAUCAUCUGUGGUUUUCGUGCCUAGCUUCUUUUAUUAGCAUAAUGUUUCAAAUUUCAUCCAUGUUGUAGCGUGUAUCAGUACUUCAUUUCUUUUUCUGACUGAAGAAUAUUUCAUUGUAUGAUUAGCUCACUUUUUG
rnacentral:lncRNA from 10 species